GAUGAACGCUGGCGGCGUGCCUAAUACAUGCAAGUCGAGCGAACAGACGAGGAGCUUGCUCCUCUGACGUUAGCGGCGGACGGGUGAGUAACACGUGGAUAACCUACCUAUAAGACUGGGAUAACUUCGGGAAACCGGAGCUAAUACCGGAUAAUAUAUUGAACCGCAUGGUUCAAUAGUGAAAGACGGUUUUGCUGUCACUUAUAGAUGGAUCCGCGCCGCAUUAGCUAGUUGGUAAGGUAACGGCUUACCAAGGCAACGAUGCGUAGCCGACCUGAGAGGGUGAUCGGCCACACUGGAACUGAGACACGGUCCAGACUCCUACGGGAGGCAGCAGUAGGGAAUCUUCCGCAAUGGGCGAAAGCCUGACGGAGCAACGCCGCGUGAGUGAUGAAGGUCUUCGGAUCGUAAAACUCUGUUAUUAGGGAAGAACAAAUGUGUAAGUAACUAUGCACGUCUGGACGGUACCAAAUCAGAAAGCCACGGCUAACUACGUG
rnacentral:rRNA from 1 species